AGUGUCCCGGUAAAUUGUUGUUUUCCUACAUACCCUGUAUUCCAUCAGGGGAUGGAAAGAACAAGACACAACUCUUGAGGGUGGGAGCUUCCAGUCCUUUGUGAGCCCCCUCUACAGGUGGAAUGGACACAUGGCCAUGCUGUCUGGUAUUCAGAGGGGAGAGAGACUGAUGUGAUCUGUAAUAUUCUGGAGAAUAUUCUAGGAUGCUGGAGGAAGUGGCCUGAGAUGCCACCUUGAAAUGGCAUCUGCAGGGGGUAACUGAAAAAACAUUGGGCCUGGAUCUGUAAAACCUAGGUUAGAAUCUUGACCUUCCCACUUACUGACUGUAGGUGGGCACGUUACUUAGCCUCACUAAGCCCUGCUUUUCUCAUCUGGAUAUUGCAGCUUGGAAUGGAAACUAAACACACACACACACACACACACACACACACGCACGCACGCACACACCCUUAAUAUAGUGCUUGGCAAGGAGAGGACAUUUCUAAAAUGUUUGCUGAAUCUGAACCCUAUAUCCAGAGCACUAGUUUCCCUCUGGAGGAUUGGAACGCUCACUCCCGCUAGAGGGAAGAUGGCUUCCUCCAGGUUUGGCAAGAAAGCAUCUUUUUGAGUUCUAACGGGUGAGCCAGGUAGGUGACAUUUGUCACGGGUUUUUUGUUCUUUUUAGUGAAGUUAAAGGACAUUUUCUUUAUUGACCGAUUAGAAACCGUAACUCCAGGUGGUGCAAAAUGCAUGCCUGAACCCAAUCACAAAGAAUGGGUGUAAACACACAACGUUUAAGCCAUCGGUUCUUCGAUUCCCGUCCAUGCUUCCUGAGCCCCCAGCCCCCGGAGCAGGGCGCCUGGGAAAGACAGGACAACACACAGGCGUGGGGGCCUCUUUUCUAGCUGCUGUGCCCGAUGGCAGCAGGGGAAGGAGACAAGCAGAGCAGGCCUGGAAGGGAAAAGAAAUCACUGAAGAGCAGCUCUGGAGAACCCUGAGGGAGAGGGAAGCUGGGGGAAGCUCUGGGGAGACUGGUGCGUCUCUAACCCACGGGGCUUUUUAAACUUGUUAGGCUUGGCCUGAGAACGUUACUUCCUUUUUCCACAAGAAAUGACUUAGCCCAGUCCAGCAGCGUGAUUCCGCCCGGGUCUGUGGGACAGACAGGAAGCCCAGGGUGCACCCUGCGGCUCAUCUGCAAAGCAGGACGCUAGGUGUGGUGCUAUCUACGCUUAGAGAAAGAUCUUCAUGGCCCCUAACCACCGACUGUCUCCAGAUGUUCAUUUUCUAGAGCCUGCUGCCGGAGGAGGCCUCUGAUCUCACUCCCAGUAGGAGCCUUUCUCCAUUCGCUGCAGCCUGACCCAGGUUGGACGCUCAGGAACAUCUUAUAACUCACGCUAAAUGAGGGCCCCCUCUGCAGUACUAACAGGUAAGCCCCCGGCGCUGGAGCCGGGCUGCCUGGCUUUGAUUCAUGGCCCUAACCACUGCGGAUUGAACCGUUCCUAUGUUCAGUUGCGAGAAGUACACGAGUUACCGUGUGUGAAGAGCGCCCGGCCCACAGUGUUGGCGAAUGAAUGCGCUUAGGAGAAAUUCAGAUAAGAGUGACAGCUGUUUGUCGGGAUUUUAAGAUCUUUGUCCCAUCACCUCAACCUCCCACACUCUGGGAGGGACCCUGUCCCUAGGGUCAGGCUGAAAGUUUGCCAGAUUGUGACUUGGGUCUGUCGGGUCACAGAACUAAGGGUCCAGUCUUCAACGUGAUGCUGUCCUUACGAGCACUUUGUGCCACUUACGUUUUGUCAUUUAAGCACCCCAGAUCUGGGGCUCAGAGCCUGGGAAGUGGAGCUUUUCUGAAACCACUGGGUCAUGGAGAACCCCCUUCCCCCAGCGGCCUCUCCCCGUCUCCCCCCAGCCUGCCAGGGCCACUGGGACUGUCACUGCUUCCAGGAAGGGCUGCCGCUUCUGGGAGGCUGCACAUCGGAGCGGAGCAUCUCACCGGACAGGGCUGGGAGGGGCGGCCAACCAAAACACCGCGUUCCUGGAUGGCCGCUUUUCUCUGGAAGGCGCGCGUUUCUUUUUCCGUGGCCUUGGCUUUUCCAGAGCAGAGGGCUGGGGGCCGCGCCAGGGCACUGCGCAGGCUGACCGAUGGCGCAACCCAGCCCGGGGCUGCGCGCCAGCUGCAGAUAUUUGCUGCGCUAUUUUAAGAUUCCCAGUCCUGCCUGUUUCCCAGCAGUUGUCAUUUGGUCAGAGGAAAGGGAAAGCGGGGGUGGGAGAGAAUGAGGCCCCAGCCACAGGCUUGGGUGGAAAUUCCAUCCUUUGAGGCAGCACUGCCCCUCCCCCACCUGGCACUGAGUGACUCAGAGUUCUUCGCAGUCAGGGCAAAGUCUUGUUUAUUUUAACAACAAAAAAUAAGGAUAGUGCCACACUGUUUGCAUAACAUCUUAGACUUCUCGGAGCACCUUCAGACCCUUCCCUCCUUUGUUGGUUAAGGCAAACAUUAUCACUGCCUGUUUGCAAGUGAGAAAGCUGAGGCACAGAGAGGGUGGUGAUUGCACAGGGUCACACAGCUAGUUAAUCACAGGGCCAGGCACAGAGGCUGGAUCUCCUGAGUUUUAAACCACAUCAUCCUUCAGUAAAUAGCCGUGUGUUGUCUUUCCUCCGCCCACAGCGCCCUUCCUGUGCUCUCGAGCACCCGAGUUAUGGAGAACAAAGCACGCAGGGGUAGCGUGUGGUGGCUCUGGUGACUUUCUGCUCCUGUGGCUGUUGGCUCCUGAAAUACAGUCUCUUAGCAGGGGACGUUCAAUCAUGCAAACAUCGAGUGCCUACUGUGUGCGGCUACUGUGCUUUCUAAGCACAUAAUUCAUAAUUACAAUAAAAUAUGAUAAGGUUGUUGGCAAAUACGCAAUAUUAGGGAAACAAAAAGAGGUAAUUCACAUUGUCAGGGGGUUAUAAAGAUUUUCAGCUAUCCAGAAUAGCUGAAAAAAUGGUUACAAUGACUAUUACCUAAGUUUAACCAUUGUCAGCAUUUGUCAUAUUGGCUUUGUCUCUCUGGAUAUAUAAAUAAGUAGACGUAGACAUACAGGUAUAUGCACAUAUAUGUAGACAUACAGCAGAAUCAUUCGAAAGAAGGUGAGGGGUAGUCACUCCUAAAUAUUCCUGUAUGUAUUUUCUAAGAAUAAGGACAUUCAAAGAGGUGAAUUUUGAGUUGGUUCUUGUCUGAUGAAUAGGAGUUUAUUGGACAAAAGGUGACGGUCAUUCCAGGUAGUGGCAACAAUGUGUUCAGAAGCAGAUGGGUGAACAACACGGAGUAUUUAGGGGGCAAGGCUGUGGAGCGUGACAAGACAAGGGGUUGGGAGCAGCUGCAAGGGGAGUGGGAGCAACUGAUUGGAACCAGACUGGGAGGGAGCCGGACAGUCCUGACAAGGAGUGGCAAUGUGACCCUCGGGGAGGUGAGAGAGGCUGGGGGCGUUGAAAGAGGGGUGGCAUGCUCUGCUUUACCUUCCUCUGGCGUCAGAGCAGGCAGGCUGGGUAAGGUGCAGAAGACAGGUUAGGAUGGGAGAGGGUGAGAACAGGGGUUGUGUGGAUGAGGGAGAAGAUUCCAGAGGUCAGAUUACAUAGGACUUGGAGACUGAUUGGACAUAGGAGGGAAGGAAGUGAGGGAUCAUUGAUGAUGCUAUAGAUUUCUUUCAGAAGCAACUGAAUAGAUGUAUCAAUGUCAUUAAUUGAUGCCACUAAUUAGUCAAAUGUGAUUGGUAGAAGGCACUGAACUAAUUUCCGACAAAUUAAGUAUGAAGACAUUGACUAUGCCGGCAGAAUAUGGCCUGGGAUUCUAGCAGGGGCCAGAGCGCCAGGUUCGGGGAGCCAUGUGCAUAGACAGUGGUGGCCGACUGUAGCGAGGGAAGAGAAAAGGGUCCAGGCACACCUCCGGGCAGCACUUACAUUGCUGGGACAGACAGGAGACAGGAGGUGUAGCCGUGCUGGAGGGAGAAGAGCCAGUGUGGCCAUGCCUACGUGGCAGGGUCCACUGAGCAUUAAACUAGCUCGUGCGUGUGAAACCCCACACUCCAGGCUAGGCCUUGGCAGUUGCUGGCUAAGUCGAAGUACCAUUGUUAGAGAGGAGGGAUGUCUGAGAUUUAGAGAGUCGUCUCAGGAUCAAAAAUUGCCAAUUUAAACUGCCAAGAGUGACGGCACCUAGCCCAUCUUGAAACGGUAGCUAGGAAGCUGAAAGUCCUUUUCCUCUGCUCCCUCUGACCCCUUUCAAGAAUUGAAGACUAGAUUGAACGAUAAGAGAAGGUAAACAUUAAUUCCACAAGUACUAUUGGAGCUGGGCAUGUGAGCAUUUCAGAACUCAGGACAGGUAAAGAACUUUCUGCCAAUCUGGGAGCUGGGGCUGGGGGCCAUCCGCAGAAUGAGUCACUAACUUGUGGGGACAGCAGUCAGAUGCCCCAUCAUCAAAUCACAGCCCUGGCCUUCUGUCCCUUUUAAAAUUUAACCUCUCUAUGCCUCAGUUUCCCCAUCCGUAAAAUGACAGUCACGGCACCUUCUUCAGAGGUUAGUGUGAGGAUUAAGUGAGAGGAGGACUGUAAUAACCACAAGUGCAGAGCACAGAGGAAGUGCUCGCUAACUGUUAGGGACUGUUGUUGCUCUUACUGCAGACAUGGGGUUUGGGAAGCCUGAGGAUGGGGAUCCAGAAGGUUCCUCUGCGGCCGCACUUGGAGCAGCACAGGCGGAGGCGGCUGGUGGAGGAGGAGCGGCUGGCCCGGCUCAGUCACACAGCUCACCGCGUGUCCCCCCCUCAGAUGUGGGCCCAUUAGGGAGAGCUCCUUUCUUUCUCUGCAAAACAUCACGCACCCCCUGCCGCGCUCUUGCCUCUGUCCACAGGGGCCCGUUUCUAGGACAGCUGCUGUGUCAGGGGCUGAUGGCCUCGUGGCUGGUGAAAGGACCACCUGUUCCCGCGGCUUUCUCUUGCCUCGCUCUCCCCGCCCCAGCCCUGCCAGCCCCGCCUCCCAGCCGCUCACACGUCUGCC